rnacentral:rRNA from 1 species
UCGCGUUAUUGGAGUGGCCUAGGCCUGAUUAGCUAGUUGGUGAGGUAAAGGCUCACCAAGGCGACGAUCAGUAGCUGGUCUGAGAGGAUGAUCAGCCACACUGGAACUGAGACACGGUCCAGACUCCUACGGGAGGCAGCAGUGGGGAAUUUUGGACAAUGGGGGAAACCCUGAUCCAGCCAUUCCGCGUGAGUGAAGAAGGCCUUCGGGUUGUAAAGCUCUUUCAGAAGGGAAGAAACGGUUGCAGCUAAUACCUGCGACUAAUGACGGUACCUUCAGAAGAAGCACCGGCUAACUACGUGCCAGCAGCCGCGGUAAUACGUAGGGUGCGAGCGUUAAUCGGAAUUACUGGGCGUAAAGCGUGCGCAGGCGGUUUUGUAAGUCAGAUGUGAAAGCCCCGGGCUCAACCUGGGAACUGCGUUUG